GAGUGAUUCCUCUGGCAUUGCUGUUUUUGCUUAGGAUUGCUUUGGCUGGUCAGGCUCUUUUUGGUUCAACAUGAAUAUUAGAGUAGUAUUUUCUAAUUCUGUGAAGAAUGACGUUGGUAGUUUGAUAGGUAUUGAAUUUGUAAACUGCUUUGGACGAUAUGGUCAUUUUUACAAUAGUGGUUUUGCUACUGAAACACCAGGGGCUCAGUCUAGGUGGGUCCUGCUGCUCUCCAGACAGAAAGGCAAUGACUUAGAUGAUGCAUAUUGCCAAGAAAGAUGACUUUAAUCCAGCACUGCAGCUGAGGAUGUGAGAACUCAGUCAAAAUCUGCCUCUCUGAACUACUAAAACUAAGGUUGAAUUUGGGAGGCAGAGGUUGCAGUGAGUCGAGAUCAGGCCAGUGCACUCCAGCACAAAGGCUGGUACUGAUUGAAAAUGGUGCUUGGCUAGUGCAACCUGGAGAGUCGUCGUCUGCGUAAAGCAGGUGCUCUGCAUGUAGAAAGCUCCUGGUGCGGAUGUUGCACUCUGAGAAAGGCUGAGCGCAGCCUCGGGCAGUGAAGAACUUCCUCGGAAGCCAAAGAGGGAAAAAAUAAAACCUGUGCAGAGCAACUCUCUUUGAAGAGGAAAUGCACUCAAGCCCUGGCCCACAUGGAAAAGUGCUCCUGGAACUGGAAACUCUAUGGACUCCCAGCCCCCAGGCUGCUUCUCUUCAUUCAGUCACCCUACAGCUGGGUCAGCCCUGACCAGCACAGUCAUGGGAGCCAGCAGGACCCGAAUCAUAUCCUCAGUUUGGGUCUAUUUGCAGAAGUUGGGAGGCUUUCUAAAGCCCGGCUGUGUCUCUCCACCUUUGCUACCACUUAUUCCCCUGUCGCACAGCCAGAGAUUUCACACAGGACGACAUUCAUGUAGGCUAUUAAGGGCAAGCAUUUCUGGGAAGCUUAAACAAGAUAUGCUGGUCAUUCCCAAAAACCUUCCUUCUCAGCUGUGAUCUGUGAAGAAGAAACAACUGGAGUUUUCAGUGGAAAGUGGAUAUUAAUUUGGGGCACUGGGGCACUUCCAGAGAAUGAGCCCUGGUCAGUUCUCACAGAAGGAAUACACAGGCACUGGGAAGAAUGAGACUGGCAAGACUAGGAAGCAGGCAGCAGCCAACAGAUGCGUGAAAGACUAGCGUAGUGAAAUAAGGACCUUCAUCUUCUGAGUGUUGCCCAGACCCAAUCUCACUGUAUCCCGUGCGGAGAAAGUGACUCCGGCAGUGUGCCCAGUGUAGAAGACAGAACAACACUCUUUCCAUGUUUGUCCCUCGACCUGGAGAGCUGGAAGAAUCCUGAAUCUUCUUCAUUUAGGAAGGGAGUUUCAGAAGCACAUCAAAUAUACAGCAUCUUCCAAGCCUAGAACCUGGAGGUGCUUCUAGCACACUUUCCUUCCUUGCUUCCGCAGCUGUCCAUUUACCCACCUCAGUUAGUAGUUACGAAUAUUCCCAGAGAAUCACACCAGCACACACUUUGCACCAGGAAGGGCUGCAAAUAUGUUACAAGAAGAGAGCUGGCUGUGAGGCUGGCCCACGUCUUCUUUCAGUUUGGUGCUUUGUCCGUCACAAAACCAACCUGCAGUCUAGAAGGGCACAUCCCAUCCAGUGUCUCCUACAGAUGUACUGAGUAUCGGGGAGCAUCGUAGUAACAAAGAGACCUUCUUCCCGCUCCGGUCCCUACAUUGUUAAGAAAAAAAACUUGGUCAUAUAAGUUAUAGCACAUUCAUUUCCUACUUGGAGUAUAAGAAGGGGUGAAAACGUUGCUAAGGCAGCUCUCUGCAUGAGGAUAUGGGAAGCAGGCCAAGGUAUAUUUGCAGGUAACUGAAAGGCAGCCAGGCCUGUAAGAAACAAGCAGGUAGGCAAAACCGCCAAACACACAGGCCUGUAUGGGACAUAGGAUUUGUGCUAAUGUUCAAGGGCAAAACAUCUCAAGAGUUGAUACAUUCCUGAGCCUUUGAGU
rnacentral:lncRNA from 13 species